GGGUUGUGAGGUUAAGCGACUAAGCGUACACGGUGGAUGCCCUGGCAGUCAGAGGCGAUGAAGGGCGUGCUAAUCUGCGAUAAGCGCCGGUAAGGUGAUAUGAACCGUUAUAACCGGCGAUACCCGAAUGGGGAAACCCAGUGUGAUUCGUCACACUAUCAUUAACUGAAUCCAUAGGUUAAUGAGGCGAACCGGGGGAACUGAAACAUCUAAGUACCCCGAGGAAAAGAAAUCAACCGAGAUUCCCCCAGUAGCGGCGAGCGAACGGGGAGGAGCCCAGAGCCUGAAUCAGCAUGUGUGUUAGUGGAAGCGUCUGGAAAGGCGCGCGAUACAGGGUGACAGCCCCGUACACAAAAGCGCAUGUGCUGUGAGCUCGAUGAGUAGGGCGGGACACGUGGUAUCCUGUCUGAAUAUGGGGGGACCAUCCUCCAAGGCUAAAUACUCCUGACUGACCGAUAGUGAACCAGUACCGUGAGGGAAAGGCGAAAAGAACCCCGGCGAGGGGAGUGAAAAAGAACCUGAAACCGUGUACGUACAAGCAGUGGGAGCNNNNNNNNNNNNNNNNNNNNNNNNNNNNNGGGCGUUAAGUUGCAGGGUAUAGACCCGAAACCCGGUGAUCUAGCCAUGGGCAGGUUGAAGGUUGGGUAACACUAACUGGAGGACCGAACCGACUAAUGUUGAAAAAUUAGCGGAUGACCUGUGGCUGGGGGUGAAAGGCCAAUCAAACCGGGAGAUAGCUGGUUCUCCCCGAAAGCUAUUUAGGUAGCGCCUCGUGAAUUCAUCUCCGGGGGUAGAGCACUGUUUCGGCUAGGGGGCCAUCCCGGCUUACCAACCCGAUGCAAACUGCGAAUACCGGAGAAUGUUAUCACGGGAGACACACGGCGGGUGCUAACGUCCGUCGUGAAGAGGGAAACAACCCAGACCGCCAGCUAAGGUCCCAAAGUCAUGGUUAAGUGGGAAACGAUGUGGGAAGGCCCAGACAGCCAGGAUGUUGGCUUAGAAGCAGCCAUCAUUUAAAGAAAGCGUAAUAGCUCACUGGUCGAGUCGGCCUGCGCGGAAGAUGUAACGGGGCUAAACCAUGCACCGAAGCUGCGGCAGCGACACUGUGUGUUGUUGGGUAGGGGAGCGUUCUGUAAGCCUGCGAAGGUGGCCUGUGAGGGUUGCUGGAGGUAUCAGAAGUGCGAAUGCUGACAUAAGUAACGAUAAAGCGGGUGAAAAGCCCGCUCGCCGGAAGACCAAGGGUUCCUGUCCAACGUUAAUCGGGGCAGGGUGAGUCGACCCCUAAGGCGAGGCCGAAAGGCGUAGUCGAUGGGAAACGGGUUAAUAUUCCCGUACUUGGUGUUACUGCGAAGGGGGGACGGAGAAGGCUAUGUUGGCCGGGCGACGGUUGUCCCGGUUUAAGCGUGUAGGUGUGUGUUCCAGGUAAAUCCGGUUCACUUUAACACUGAGGCGUGACGACGAGGCACUACGGUGCUGAAGCAACAAAUGCCCUGCUUCCAGGAAAAGCCUCUAAGCAUCAGGUAACAUCAAAUCGUACCCCAAACCGACACAGGUGGUCAGGUAGAGAAUACCAAGGCGCUUGAGAGAACUCGGGUGAAGGAACUAGGCAAAAUGGUGCCGUAACUUCGGGAGAAGGCACGCUGACACGUAGGUGAAGUGAUUUACUCAUGGAGCUGAAGUCAGUCGAAGAUACCAGCUGGCUGCAACUGUUUAUUAAAAACACAGCACUGUGCAAACACGAAAGUGGACGUAUACGGUGUGACGCCUGCCCGGUGCCGGAAGGUUAAUUGAUGGGGUCAGCGCAAGCGAAGCUCCUGAUCGAAGCCCCGGUAAACGGCGGCCGUAACUAUAACGGUCCUAAGGUAGCGAAAUUCCUUGUCGGGUAAGUUCCGACCUGCACGAAUGGCGUAAUGAUGGCCAGGCUGUCUCCACCCGAGACUCAGUGAAAUUGAACUCGCUGUGAAGAUGCAGUGUACCCGCGGCAAGACGGAAAGACCCCGUGAACCUUUACUAUAGCUUGACACUGAACAUUGAGCCUUGAUGUGUAGGAUAGGUGGGAGGCUUUGAAGUGUGGACGCCAGUCUGCAUGGAGCCGACCUUGAAAUACCACCCUUUAAUGUUUGAUGUUCUAACGUGGACCCGUUACCCGGGUUGCGGACAGUGUCUGGUGGGUAGUUUGACUGGGGCGGUCUCCUCCUAAAGAGUAACGGAGGAGCACGAAGGUUGGCUAAUCCUGGUCGGACAUCAGGAGGUUAGUGCAAUGGCAUAAGCCAGCUUGACUGCGAGCGUGACGGCGCGAGCAGGUGCGAAAGCAGGUCAUAGUGAUCCGGUGGUUCUGAAUGGAAGGGCCAUCGCUCAACGGAUAAAAGGUACUCCGGGGAUAACAGGCUGAUACCGCCCAAGAGUUCAUAUCGACGGCGGUGUUUGGCACCUCGAUGUCGGCUCAUCACAUCCUGGGGCUGAAGUAGGUCCCAAGGGUAUGGCUGUUCGCCAUUUAAAGUGGUACGCGAGCUGGGUUUAGAACGUCGUGAGACAGUUCGGUCCCUAUCUGCCGUGGGCGCUGGAGAACUGAGGGGGGCUGCUCCUAGUACGAGAGGACCGGAGUGGACGCAUCACUGGUGUUCGGGUUGUCAUGCCAAUGGCACUGCCCGGUAGCUAAAUGCGGAAGAGAUAAGUGCUGAAAGCAUCUAAGCACGAAACUUGCCCCGAGAUGAGUUCUCCCUGAGACUUAGAGUCUCCUGAAGGAACGUUGAAGACGACGACGUUGAUAGGCCGGGUGUGUAAGCGCAGCGAUGCGUUGAGCUAACCGGUACUAAUGAACCGUGAGGCUUAACCUUACAACGCCGAAG
rnacentral:rRNA from 1 species